CCUACGGGAGGCAGCAGUGAGGAAUAUUGGUCAAUGGUCGGGAGACUGAACCAGCCAAGCCGCGUGAGGGAGGAAGGUACAGAGUAUUGUAAACUUCUUUUGUCAGGGAACAAAGGCGGGGACGUGUCCCCGGCUGAGUGUACCUGAUGAAAAAGCAUCGGCUAACUCCGUGCCAGCAGCCGCGGUAAUACGGAGGAUGCGAGCGUUAUCCGGAUUUAUUGGGUUUAAAGGGUGCGCAGGGGGUUUGUUAAGUCAGCGGUCAAAGCCCGGGGCUCAACCCCAGACCCGCCGUUGAAACUGGCAGUCUCGAGUUGGAGAGAAGUAGGCGGAAUGCGCGGUGUAGCGGUGAAAUGCAUAGAUAUCGCGCAGAACUCCGAUUGCGAAGGCAGCAUACCGACUCCACACUGACGCUGAGGCACGAAAGCGUGGGUAUCGAACAGGAUUAGAUACCCUAGUAGUC
rnacentral:rRNA from 1 species